CCUACGGGUGGCAGCAGUGAGGAAUAUUCGUCAAUGAGCGCGAGCCUGAACCAGCCAAGUAGCGUGAAGGAUGACUGCCCUACGGGUUGUAAACUUCUUUUAUAAAGGAAUAAAGUGAGGCACGUGUGCCUUUUUGUAUGUACCAUAUGAAUAAGGAUCGGCUAACUCCGUGCCAGCAGCCGCGGUAAUACGGAGGAUCCGAGCGUUGUCCGGUUUUAUUGGGUUUAAAGGGAGCGUAGGUGGAUUGGUAAGUCAGUUGUGAAAGUCUGCGGCUCAACCGUAAAAUUGCAGUUGAUACUGGCAGUCUUGAGUACAGUAGAGGUAGGCGGAAUUCGAGGUGUAGCGGUGAAAUGCGUAGAUAUCACGAAGAACUCCGAUUGCGAAGGCAGUUCACUGGACUGCAACUGACACUGAGGCUCGAAAGUGUGGGGAUCAAACAGGAUUAGAUACCCGUGUAGUC
rnacentral:rRNA from 1 species